UCUUUCGCAAUGGACCAAAGUGUGAUGAAGGGAAGCUGUGUGACCGAUGAACGCCCUCCGGGUGGUAAAGUUCUUUCGCCACUCCCCGCCCAGAAAGGACGGUUAAUAGCCCGUUUGUAUUUGAGUGUACCACGUGAAAGAAGCCCCCGGCUAACUCCGUGCCCAGCCAGCCGCCGGUAAUACGAAGGGGCCCAAGCCAUUAAUCGGAUUUAUUGGGCGUAAAGGGGCGCGUAGGCGGGUUUGAAAGUCAGAAUGUGAAAUCCCGAAGCUCAACUCUCGGAAGCUGCAUUUGAAACUCCAGAUCUUGAGGGAUGGCGGAGAAAAUGGAAUUUCCACGUGUAGCGGUGAAAUGCGUAGAUAUGUGGAAGAACACCUGUGGCGAAAGCGGUUUUCUAGCUAUUUCCUGACACGAGGCACGAAGGCAA
rnacentral:rRNA from 1 species